rnacentral:rRNA from 1 species
GAUGAACGCUAGCGGCAGGCUUAAUACAUGCAAGUCGAGGGGCAGCAGGACUGUAGCAAUACAGUUGCUGGCGACCGGCAAACGGGUGCGGAACACGUACGCAAUCUACCCGAAACUGGGGCAUAGCCCGGGGAAACCCGGAUUAAUACCCCGUAACACUUUGAAGUGGCAUCACUUUAUAGUUAUAGCUCCGGCGGUUUUGGAUGAGCGUGCGGCUGAUUAGGUAGUUGGCGGGGUAACGGCCCACCAAGCCUACGAUCAGUAACUGGUGUGAGAGCACGACCAGUCACACGGGCACUGAGACACGGGCCCGACUCCUACGGGAGGCAGCAGUAAGGAAUAUUGGUCAAUGGACGCAAGUCUGAACCAGCCAUGCCGCGUGGAGGAUGAAGGCCCUCUGGGUUGUAAACUUCUUUUAUAGGGGACGAAACCUCUUUUUCUUGAGAGACUGACGAUACCGUUUGUAAGCUCCGGCUAACUCCGUGCCUGCAGCCGCCGCCGUAA